rnacentral:rRNA from 1 species
UGUUGCUGGCUCCUAGGAGUAUGUGCACAUCUGUCAUUGUUUCAUUCUUUCUCCACCUGUGCAUCUUUGUAGGCUUGAAUCCUCUCAAGAGAUAUGUAUUCUCUUGGAAAUAAGGACUGAUUUCUCACCUAGAGAAAGCUAUCCUUUACAUUCAAGUCUAUGUUUUUAUCUACACCCUAUUAGAAUGUUUAUGAAUGUAUUACAAAUUUGGCCCUAGGCCUUAUUAAAACCUUAUACAACUUUCAACAACGGAUCUCUUGGCUCUCGCAUCGAUGAAGAACGCAGCGAAAUGCGAUAAGUAAUGUGAAUUGCAGAAUUCAGUGAAUCAUCGAAUCUUUGAACGCACCUUGCGCUCCUUGGUAUUCCGAGGAGCAUGCCUGUUUGAGUGUCAUUAAAUUCUCAAUCCUCUCUGGGUUUUUUCUCAGUUAGGAUUGGAUAAUGGGGGCUUUGCUGGCUUGAAUAAGGUCAGCUCUCCUAAAAUACAUUAGCAAGACUCUUGUUGCAGCCUUCCUAUAUGGUGUGAUAAUUAUCUACAUCACAGAUUGCAUGCAGUAAAAAGAUGUCAGGCUUCUAACAGUCCAUUGACUUGGACAAACUAAUUGACAAAUUUGACCUCAAAUCAGGUAGGACUACCCGCUGAACUUAAGCAUAUCAAUAAGCGGAGGAAAAGACUCUAACAAGGAUUCCCCUAGUAACUGCGAGUGAAGCGGGAAAAGCUCAAAUUUAAAAUCUGGCAGU